AGAUGGGGAGCUGUAAAGGCUGAGAGGGCACGUGCCGACCCAUAAGAACCUGAUCUGGGUAAUUCUAGCGUAGGGAAAAUUA
rnacentral:ncRNA from 1 species